rnacentral:rRNA from 1 species
CACGUAGGGUGCGAGCGUUGUCCGGAAUUAUUGGGCGUAAAGAGCUCGUAGGCGGUGUGUCGCGUCGGCCGUGAAAACUUGGGGCUUAACUCUGAGCGUGCGGUCGAUACGGGCAUCACUUGAGUUCGGCAGGGGGAGACUGGAAUUCCUGGUGUAGCGGUGAAAUGCGCAGAUAUCAGGAGGAACACCGGUGGCGAAGGCGGGUCUCUGGGCCAUAACUGACACUGAGGAGCGAAAGCAUGGGGAGCGAACAGG